GACGAACGCUGGCGGCGUGCCUAACACAUGCAAGUCGAACGGAGAUAUGAUUUCGGUUGUAUCUUAGUGGCGAACGGUGAGUAACGCGUGAGCAACCUGACCUUCAGAGGGGAGUAACACCCGGAACGAGUGCUAAUACCGCAUAAGACCACACCGUGACAUCGCGGAGAGGUCAAAGGAAGCAAUCCGCUGAGGGAGGGGCGUCGCGUCCAUUAGAUAGAUGGCGGGGUAACGGCCCACCAUGUCGACGAUGGGUAGCCGAGCUGAGAGGCUGAUCGGCCACACUGGAACUGAGACACGGUCCAGACUCCUACGGGAGGCAGCAGUGGGGAAUAUUGGGCAAUGGGCGAAAGCCUGACCCAGCAACGCCGCG
rnacentral:rRNA from 1 species